rnacentral:rRNA from 1 species
AACGUAGGUUCCGAGCGUUAUCCGGAUUUACUGGGCGUAAAGCGCGUUCAGGCGGUUUGGCAAGUCGGGCAUGAAAUCUCUCGGCUCAACCGGGAGAGGUUGUCCGAUACUGCUGGACUUGAGGGCAGUAGAGGGUGGUGGAAUUCCGGGUGUAGUGGUGAAAUGCGUAGAUAUCUGGAGGAACACCGGUGGCGAAGGCGGCAUCCUGGACCGACACUGACACUGAGGAGCGAAAGCCAGGGGAGCAAACGGG